rnacentral:lncRNA from 1 species
GCAGAAGCAGAUGAAUCCUGGGUGAGUGGAACGGGAGCAGACGAUACAUGAAGGACAAGGUCCUAAAUGAUCCUUCUGAAGCAGAGAGAAGCCCCAAGGAGCUUCCCCUUCCUCCUCCCAGCUCUGCUCCCCUGUUCAGAGGGCAGACGCUUUCUGAGCAGGCAGAAAAGCAAAGAUGACACCUUCAGGAAAUAUCAAGAAGGGCGCAUAAUUAGAAGUGUCCUACCCAGCCCUCUGAUUUGCAGUAAUUUUGUGAACAGCAUUCAGCAUCUAUCAUGUUGCCCUUUAGUAUAUUCAGGAUUCUGCCUGACUCUUUCAGAGAACUUCAGAUGGAGCAGAACUGGCUCGCAGUUGGGAGAACUCUGACACGAUCGGAUGUUGCUUAGGCGAAACCUGGAUUGUUACUCUGAGACGGCUGAACCUCAUUCUGCACAAGACAAGGACCAUCAUGUGGUUUGCAGGACAUCUCAGAUGGGAAAACAAGCUCCAGCUGCCAGGCUAGCCCUGAAUGAGGGUGCAGAGACUCCCAACCAGAAGAGCAAGCAGGAGAGCAGACUCUCGCCUCCUCCCAUCCCCAGUCAGCUGUUUGGUUGUUCUCUGGCUCUUUUCUGCUGGAAAAAAAAAAAAAGAAAAACUGGUCACCAUCAGUUGGAUGGUCCAAUGCAGCGCCUCUUCCAUGUAGAAGACUGUGCAAAAGUCUUGAAGUCUUCCUGUGGGGAUAGGACCCCAGCACUCUCACCAUUUAUGGAAGAAAAUUACAUGCUGGAUUUGUAUUUUCCUUUUCAACCAGACAAUUAUCUAGAAUGCAUUACUCCAAUUUGCAAUUUAUAUUUAAACUUUUUUUUCUGGAUAUUCAGAAAAUAUCAGGUAGUAGGGUCCUCAGCAGUUUAAUCACACAGUACAUUUUACUGUUUUCCCUUGCAUUUUGAAUGUCUACAGCAUAGAGCUAAUUAGUGCUAUGAUGAAUUCCACUUUCUUACAAUGAGAAGAUCUAGCUCUACUAAUUAAUAACUGGACUGUGGUAUUCUUAACUUAUGAUGAGUAGUCCCCUAACUCAUGAUUUGUUUCAAUAUUUUUAGAAUAAAGAACUACUCAAUAUAGAAAUUCUUCA